rnacentral:rRNA from 1 species
UCCUUCGGGGAAGCAGCAGUGGGGAAUAUUGCACAAUGGGCGCAAGCCUGAUGCAGCGACGCCGCGUGAGGGAUGACGGCCUUCGGGUUGUAAACCUCUUUCAGCAGGGACGAAGCGUGAGUGACGGUACCUGCAGAAGAAGCACCGGCCAACUACGUGCCAGCAGCCGCGGUAAUACGUAGGGUGCAAGCGUUGUCCGGAAUUACUGGGCGUAAAGAGCUCGUAGGCGGUUUGUCGCGUCGUCUGUGAAAACCAGCAGCUCAACUGUUGGCUUGCAGGCGAUACGGGCAGACUUGAGUAUUUCAGGGGAGACUGGAAUUCCUGGUGUAGCGGUGAAAUGCGCAGAUAUCAGGAGGAACACCGGUGGCGAAGGGAGGCAGCAGGACAUAAAAGAAUCUGAGGAGAGAAAAGAAAGGGUGGGAACAGGAUUAGAUUACCUG